CUUGCUAACAUCUUUUUCCCCUA
rnacentral:siRNA from 1 species